rnacentral:rRNA from 1 species
UACAGAAGGUGCGAGCGUUAAUCGGAAUUACUGGGCGUAAAGGGUGCGUAGGUGGUUUUGUAAGUUAAGUGUGAAAGUCCCGGGCUUAACCUGGGGAUUGCGCCUAAUACUGCAAAGCUAGAGUACUGUAGAGGAAAGUGGAAUUUCCAGUGUAGCGGUGAAAUGCGUAGAUAUUGGAAGGAACAUCAGUGGCGAAGGCGACUUUCUGGACAGAUACUGACACUGAGACGCGAAAGCGUGGGGAGCGAACAGG